UCUUCGGACUGAGUAGAGCGGCGGACGGGUGAGUAACGCGUAGGAAUCUACCUGGUAGUGGGGGAUAACUUGGGGAAACUCAAGCUAAUACCGCAUACGACCUAAGGGUGAAAGGGGGGGAUCUUUGGACCUUUCGCUAUCAGAUGAGCCUGCGUAAGAUUAGCUAGUUGGUAGGGUAAAGGCCUACCAAGGCGACGAUCUUUAGCUGUUCUGAGAGGAUGAUCAGCCACACUGGGACUGAGACACGGCCCAGACUCCUACGGGAGGCAGCAGUGGGGAAUAUUGGACAAUGGGGGAAACCCUGAUCCAGCCAUGCCGCGUGUGUGAAGAAGGCCUUCGGGUUGUAAAGCACUUUCAGUGGGGAGGAAAGGGUGUACAUUAAUACUGUGCAUCUGUGACGUUACCCACAGAAGAAGCACCGGCUAACUUCGUGCCAGCACCCGCGGUAAUACGAGGGGUG
rnacentral:rRNA from 1 species